AACGAACGCUGGCGGCAGGCUUAACACAUGCAAGUCGAGCGCCCCGCAAGGGGAGCGGCAGACGGGUGAGUAACGCGUGGGAACGUACCCUUUGCUACGGAAUAGCUCCGGGAAACUGGAAUUAAUACCGUAUGUGCCCUACGGGGGAAAGAUUUAUCGGCAAAGGAUCGGCCCGCGUUGGAUUAGCUAGUUGGUGGGGUAAUGGCCUACCAAGGCGACGAUCCAUAGCUGGUCUGAGAGGAUGAUCAGCCACAUUGGGAUUGAGACACGGCCCAAACUCCUACGGGAGGCAGCAGUGGGGAAUAUUGGACAAUGGGCGCAAGCCUGAUCCAGCCAUGCCGCGUGAGUGAUGAAGGCCUUAGGGUUGUAAAGCUCUUUCACCGGAGAAGAUAAUGACGGUAUCCGGAGAAGAAGCCCCGGCUAACUUCGUGCCAGCCGCCGCAGUAAUAC
rnacentral:rRNA from 1 species